UACGAAGGGGGCUAGCGUUGCUCGGAAUCACUGGGCGUAAAGCGCACGUAGGCGGGUCGUUAAGUCGGGGGUGAAGUCCUGGAGCUCAACUCCAGAACUGCCUUCGAUACUGGCGAUCUUGAGUCUGGGGGAGGUGAGUGGAACUCCGAGUGUAGAGGUGAAAUUCGUAGAUAUUCGGAAGAACACCAGUGGCGAAGGCGGCUCACUGGCCCGGUACUGACGCUGAGGUGCGAAAGCGUGGGGAGCAAACAGG
rnacentral:rRNA from 1 species